rnacentral:snRNA from 1 species
GNGCUCACUUCGGCAGCACAUAUAGUAGAAUCGGAAUAAUACAGAGAAGAUUAGCAUGGCCCACAAGCAAAUUUGUGAAGCGUUCCAUAUUUUU